GGCGCCAUCGUCUAACGGCUAGGACAUAUUCCUUUCACGAAUAAAAUAGGGGUUCGAUUCCCCUUGGCGCUACCA
rnacentral:tRNA from 1 species